AUGGCGUUCCAGCGUCUCUUGCCCCUUGUAGCCCUGCUUUGCUUGUUCGUCGCUCCACCAUCGUCAGCUGUGCCCAGCCUCCACCCUGUGGUGCUGGUGCCGGGCAACACCUGCAGCCAGCUGGAGGCGCGGCUCACCGAUGAGUACGAACCUCCGCCAGCGACGGGCUGCGGGGUCCCAAGGCAAGGGCGCGGCUGGUUCCGGCUGUGGGAGAACUUCACGGAGCUGCAAGAGGACCCCACCCUCUUGAUCAGGAAUGUGUGCAUGGAAGGGCUGGUGGAGGCACUGGAACGCGUGGGAUACAGAGAGGGAGAGAACCUAUUCGGCGCCCCGUACGACUUCCGGCACGCGCCGGCCGCUCCCGGGCUGGCGUCCCGGGCCUUCUCCGGCUUCAGCUCCAGGCUCAGGCUCCUGGUGGAGCGCGCAAGCCAAAGGAACGGGAACAAGCCGGUCGUCCUCGUGACGCACAGUCUGGGCGGCCUCUUCGCCACGGUGUUCCUCGAUCGGACACCCCUGCGGUGGCGCAGGAGGUACGUCAAGCACCUCGUCAUGCUCUGCCUCGGUGCCGGCGACUCGCCGCUCAACAUGUGGCCCCUCGCCUCCAAGGCGCUGGCCUCCAGCCCCACGUCGCUGCAGGCCGCCGUGCUCACCUGCGGGAACCGGAGCUUCGCGAGCAUGUUCUCGCUCAUGCCGUCCCCCAGGGUGUACGGCCGCACGCCCCUGGUGAUCACGCGGGACCGGAACUACUCCGCCCACGACAUGCCGGAGUUCCUCGCGGCGGCAGGCUUCUCCGAGGACGAGGUGGCGCGGUACAGAACGAGGGCGCUUCCGGUGACCCUCAGCCUUCGGGCGCCGCUCGUGCCGAUGACGGCCAUGAAUGGCGUUGGCGUGCCGACCGUGGAUAAGCUGGUGUUCUGGGACGGUAACUUCAGUGGGAGGCCUCAGUUGGUGAAUGGCGAUGGCGAUGGCCAGAUCAACUUGGAGACCGUCUUGGCGUUGCAAAGGUUGGUGGGGGCUGAUCCGGACCAGCCUUACUUCAAGACAAUUUUGAUCCCCAACACGACGCACAAGGGUAUGAUCUCGGAUGAAUCUGCGCUCAAGCGUGUCGUCAGUGAAAUCCUUGGAGCCUCCUCUUGA
rnacentral:rRNA from 1 species